CUUUUUAUUACGCAAGUUAAAACGAACGUCGCAAUUCGCAGCAACUUUGGAGGAAAUUAAAACCCGAAGGAAGUUUCAAGUGCUGAGCGCGAUAUAAAGGUUUCGAUGGUCAGAUGUAAACAUCUCAGAA